rnacentral:rRNA from 1 species
AACGAAUGCUGGCGGCGUGCUUAACACAUGCAAGUCGAACGCGAAAGGGACUUCGGUCCUGAGUAAGUGGCGCACGGGUGAGUAACGCGUAGAUAACCUGUCUUCAUGUCUGGAAUAAUACGCCGAAAGGGGUACUAAUACCGGAUAUUCUUGCUUUUCAUAAGUUAUGCAAGCAAAGGUGGCCUCUGCAUAUGCUACUGCAUGAAGAGGGGUCUGCGUACCAUUAGCUAGUAGGUGGGGUAAUGGCCUACCUAGGCGACGAUGGUUAGCGGGUCUGAGAGGAUGAUCCGCCACACUGGCACUGGAACACGGGCCAGACUCCUACGGGAGGCAGCAGUGAGGAAUAUUGCGCAAUGGGGGAAACCCUGACGCAGCGACGCCGCGUGAGUGAAGGAAGGCCUUCGGGUCGUAAAGCUCUGUCAAGAGGAAAGAAGUGUACAAUGGCUAAUACCUGUUGUAUUUGACGGUACCUCUAAAGGAAGCACCGGCUAACUCCGUGCCAGCAGCCGC